GUGAUCAAAUACUUGACAAGAUAUUUUAUGGGGGUUUCUCUUCUCUUCUGUUGCUGCCUACCAAGGCCUGCUUUUACAGACCAUGCAGUGGAUGCCACAAAGCACACACAAGUCCUAGACACGGGAAGAGAGCAAACUGAAAUGAUAGGAAAACAAUCUUAUCCUUCCCAAGGCAGCAACUGCUGCUGACAGUCUUCAGGACCUCAUGAAAAGGUGAUUUUCAGCACGGUGCCAUCCUUCUAACAGCAGGAUAAAGUGGACAGAAGUCAUUGGCAUCCGGGAUCUAGCCCUGCUCGAGGUCUGCCCUUCCAACACCUGCCCGUUUCCUUCAGAGCUCCCACAGUGCUGCUCUCGAUCCUUUGGCAGCAUCUCCAAAGUGUCUGUGCCAGGAGAGGAUGGGCAGGGAGCAGGUGGGCACCACUUCACUGUGCCACCCUCCCCAGGCGGGACACAGGGACCGGGAGGGCUGAGCCCUUCCAGGCAGGAUGCCCCGCUGGCUGCCAAGCUCCGCAGCAAGAAAAGGGGCCGGACAAAAACCUCCACAUGACUGAUUUCACGGCCGGGACCGAGGAGCUCGCUGCCCCCACGGGUUCCUGCGGGCCGGCAGCGCCCGGCUCCCGCUCGCCAUGGCCAGGAGCGCCCAGCCCAGGACAGGGGACACCAGAGCUCCCGAGAGCCCAGGAACAGAUGCCUUGGGUGAAAAGAGGGUGACAGCAAAGGUCCAGGAGAAAUGAAGACAGAGAAGAUGAAUAUGUUAUUCACUACGUCUCACAAUGUAACAGCUAAUGUCAUUUGAUGAAAAAAUCUGAUUUAAAAUAAAUUUAAAUAUAUUUAUUUAGUAAAUUUAUUU
rnacentral:lncRNA from 1 species